GAUGGAUGACAAGCUGCUGGAGUUCGGGGAGUUCCGCCAUGAGACCUAUCGCUUCCUGUACGACUCCCCGGGUGAGGAGCAUCGAUCAUACGUGGCAUGGAUGAGGAAGACCAAGGUGUUCCAGGGCUCGCGGCUGCACUCCUUCCAACAGUACAUCCUGGGCCGAGACAGACAGGCCAAGUACAACGCAGAAGAGGGUGGGCCGUCUGACCAGCAGCUAAUGAAGCCGCCGCAGAAGUCAAGUCUCAG